rnacentral:rRNA from 1 species
AGAGUUUGAUCCUGGCUCAGGACGAACGCUGGCGGCGUGCCUAAUACAUGCAAGUUGAACGCAACAAAGACACCAGAGCUUGCUCUACCGUCUUUGUUGAGUAGCGAACGGGUGAGUAACGCGUGGGUAACCUGCCUUAUAGCGGGGGAUAACUAUUGGAAACGAUAGCUAAUACCGCAUAACAAUAGAGAUUGCAUAAUCUUUAUUUGAAAGUGCCAACUGGUACACUAUGAGAUGGACCCGCGUUGUAUUAGCUAGUUGGUAAUGUAAUGGACUACCAAGGCGAUGAUACAUAGCCGACCUGAGAGGGUGAUCGGCCACAUUGGGACUGAGACACGGCCCAAACUCCUACGGGAGGCAGCAGUAGGGAAUCUUCGGCAAUGGACGAAAGUCUGACCGAGCAACGCCGCGUGAGUGAAGAAGGUUUUCGGAUCGUAAAACUCUGUUGUUAGAGAAGAAUGUUGAUUAGAGUGGAAAAUUAAUCAAGUGACGGUAUCUAACCAGAAAGGGACGGCUAACUACGUGCCAGCAGCCGCGGUAA